rnacentral:rRNA from 1 species
GGUUUCGCCGGGGGAUUAGUGGCGAACGGGUUGAGUAACACGUGGGCAAUCUGCCCUGCACUCUGGGACAAGCCCUGGAAACGGGGUCUAAUACCGGAUAUGACCACCGGCCGCAUGGUCUGGUGGUGGAAAGCUCCGGCGGUGCAGGAUGAGCCCGCGGCCUAUCAGCUUGUUGGUGGGGUGAUGGCCUACCAAGGCGACGACGGGUAGCCGGCCUGAGAGGGCGACCGGCCACACUGGGACUGAGACACGGCCCAGACUCCUACGGGAGGCAGCAGUGGGGAAUAUUGCACAAUGGGCGCAAGCCUGAUGCAGCGACGCCGCGUGAGGGAUGACGGCCUUCGGGUUGUAAACCUCUUUCAGCAGGGAAGAAGCGCGAGUGACGGUACCUGCAGAAGAAGCACCGGCUAACUACGUGCCAGCAGCCGCGGUAAUACGUAGGGUGCGAGCGUUGUCCGGAAUUAUUGGGCGUAAAGAGCUCGUAGGCGGCCUGUCGCGUCGGAUGUGAAAGCCCGGGGCUUAACCCCGGGUCUGCAUUCGAUACGGGCAGGCUAGAGUUCGGCAGGGGAGAUUGGAAUUCCUGGUGUAGCGGUGAAAUGCGCAGAUAUCAGGAGGAACACCGGUGGCGAAGGCGGAUCUCUGGGCCGAUACUGACGCUGAGGAGCGAAAGCGUGGGGAGCGAACAGGAUUAGAUACCCUGGUAGUCCACGCCGUAAACGUUGGGCACUAGGUGUGGGCGGCAUUCCACGUCGUCCGUGCCGCAGCUAACGCAUUAAGUGCCCCGCCUGGGGAGUACGGCCGCAAGGCUAAACUCAAAGGAAUUGACGGGGGCCCCGCACAAGCGGCGGACCAUGUGGCUUAAUUCGACGCACCGCGAAAAACCUUACCAAGGCUUGACAUACAUCGGAAAACUCUGGAAACAGGGUCCCCCUUUUGGUUCGGUGUACAGGUGGUGCAUGGCUGUCCUCAACUCCUGUCCUGAAAUGUUGGGUUAAGUCCC